rnacentral:rRNA from 1 species
GAUAAACGCUGGCGGCGCACAUAAGACAUGCAAGUCGAACGGACUUAACCAUUAGUUUACUAUUGGAGCGGUUAGUGGCGGACUGGUGAGUAACACGUAAGCAACCUGCCUAUCAGAGGGGAACAACAGUGAGAAAUCAUUGCUAAUACCGCAUAUGCCAUAAUUAUCACAUGAUAGUAGUGGGAAAAGAGUAAUCUGCUAAUAGAUGAGCUUGCGUCUGAUUAGUUAGUUGGUGGGGUAAUGGCCUACCAAGACUACGAUCAGUAGCCGGACUGAGAGGUUGAUCGGCCGCAUUGGGACUGAGACACGGCCCAGACUCCUACGGGAGGCAGCAGUGGGGGGAUAUUGCACAAUGGGGGAAACCCUGAUGCAGCAAUGCCGCGUGAGGGAAGAAGGUCUUCGGAUUGUAAACCUAAGUUGUCAGGGACGAUAAUGACGGUACCUGAAGAGAAAGCUCCGGCUAACUACGUGCCAGCAGCCG